UAGAAUGAACCGGAUCACAUCGAAAGCACCAGUUUUCAUCCGAUCACCGAAGUUAAGCAACAUCGAGCCUAGUGAGUACUUAGAUGGGUGAUCGCUUGGGAAACCUAGGUGCUGUAUAGG
rnacentral:rRNA from 1 species